UUUAUUAGAGGCUGGUAUGAAUGGUUAGACGGAGAGUUGACUGUCUCUUCAAAAUUUUAAGAAUUUAAAUUCUAGGUUAAAAUGCCUAGAUAUUAUUGAAAGACGAGAAGACCCUAGCGAGCUUUAUUUUUAACGCUAGAAAUAAGUAGAUGUUUAAACUUUUGUUGGGGCGACUGAGGAGAUGGAGCUUCCUUUAUAAAAUGAAAAAUAAUGGUUAAGGAUCCAGUGUAAUUACUGAAAAACAGGGGAGCUACCGUAGGGAUAACAGCGUAAUCCUUUUAGAGAGUUCUUAUCGAAAAAAGUGUUUGCGACCUCGAUGUUGGACUAGGAUAUCCUAAAGGUGUAGAGGCUUUUAAGGGUUGGUCUGUUCGACCAAUAAAAUCCUACAUGAUCUGAGUUCAGACCGGA
rnacentral:rRNA from 1 species